UACGUAGGGACCAAGCGUUGUCCGGAAUCAUUGGGCGUAAAGAGCGUGUAGGCGGCUUGUUAAGUCUUGCGUGAAAUCUCGGGGCUCAACCCCGAGCGGUCGUGAGAAACUGGCAGGCUAGAGUGCGGGAGAGGAGAGUGGAAUUCCUGGUGUAGCGGUGAAAUGCGCAGAUAUCAGGAAGAACACCCGUGGCGAAGGCGGCUCUCUGGAACGCAACUGACGCUGAGACGCGAAAGCUAGGGGAGCAAACAGG
rnacentral:rRNA from 1 species